UUAAAUAAUAAGAAUUUAGGUGCUUUUAUAAGUGAAAAGGGAAUGUGGUUAAACUCCACAGCAGCCCCCGCUACUGUAAAUGAUGACGAACCUUAAAUUAUACCACUCUUUUGAAGGGGAAGGUUAAGGAGAGAAUGAAUCAAAAGCCAGGAGACCUGCCUAAAUCUUAAGUAAAAG
rnacentral:ncRNA from 2 species